UACAGAGGGGGCAAGCGUUGUUCGGAAUUACUGGGCGUAAAGGGCGCGUAGGCGGUCCUGUAAGUCUUGUGUGAAAUCCCUCGGCUUAACUGAGGAACUGCACGAGAUACUGCGAGACUUGAGUUCGGGAGAGGAAAGCGGAAUUCCGGGUGUAGCGGUGAAAUGCGUAGAUAUCCGGAGGAACACCGGUGGCGAAGGCGGCUUUCUGGACCGACACUGACGCUGAGGCGCGAAAGCUAGGGGAGCAAACGGG
rnacentral:rRNA from 1 species